rnacentral:rRNA from 1 species
CAUUAAACGUANCAGUAAGCCUGUGAUGCCGGCUNUGCCCUAUGGUCGGGUGGAUGUCCGGAGGUUCACGCUUUAGCGGGUGUGUUAGCGGCCACAGAGGUGGGCGUUGUCGGGGCCGGAUGGCGAUGCACAGGGAUUGGCGUGCUGACCCUACCGGCAAAGGCUUCGUUCGCAGUACCCGGAAGGGCUACACUCUGGAAGGUACGGGGGUUCCACGAAACUCCCUUCACGCGCACAUGACUGAAUCCUUAUUAUACUCGUACCUCUCGUUCUCCUUCGGUGGGGCAACCUGCCGUUGGAACUUUACAAACCCUUUUUUGCAUCUAGCGUUACCUGUUCUGAUACAAACAAUCGUUACAACUUUCAACAAUGGAUCUCUUGGCUCUGGCAUCGAUGAAGAACGCAGCGAAAUGCGAUAAGUAGUGUGAAUUGCAGAAUUCAGUGAAUCAUCGAAUCUUUGAACGCACAUUGCGCCCCUUGGUAUUCCAUGGGGCAUGCCUGUUCGAGCGUCAUCUACACCCUCAAGCCCUGCUUGGUGUUGGGCGUCUGUCCCGCCUUAUGCGCGUGGACUCGCCCCAAAUUCAUUGGCAGCGGUCUCCGCCUCCUCUCGCGCAGCACAUUGCGCUUCUCGAGGAGCUGCGGCCCGCUUCCAGCAAGCAAUUUACCGUCUUUGACCUCGGAUCAGGUAGGGAUACCC